rnacentral:rRNA from 1 species
AUUGAACGCUGUCGGCAGGCCUAACACCUGCAAGUCGAGCGGAGCGGCGGACGGGUGAGUAAUGCCUAGGACUCUGCCUGGUAGUGGGGGAUAACGUCCGCAAACGGGCGCUAAUACCGCAUACUAUCAGAUGAGCCUAGGUCGGGUUAGCUGGUUGGUGGGGAAAAGGCCUACCAAGGCUACGAUCCGUAACUGGACUGAGAGGAGUAUCAGUCAAAAUGGAAUGUAGACACGGUCCAGACUCCUACGUGAGGCAGCAGUGGGGAAUAUGGGACAUUGGGCGAAAGCCGAAUCCAGCCAUGUCGCGUGUGUGAAGAAGGUCUUCGGAUUGUAAAGCACUUUAAGUUGGGAGGCGUUACCGACAGAAUAAGCACCGGCUAACUUCGUGCCAGGAGCCGCGGUAAUUC